GUAGUCCCAGCUAUUGAAGAGGCUGAGGCAGGAGAAUCACUUGAACUGGGAGAUGGAGGUUGCAGUGAGCUGAGAUCGCACCAGUGCACUCCAGCCUGGGCAACAGAGUGAGACUCCAUCUUAUAAAAGGAAAAAAGAAGAAAAGAAAAAUUCCAUAUCUGAGUGUUUACUCCUGAGUUUUUGAGAUUGUUAUUAAGAUCGUGCUCUACUGUGAUGAUUUGGGUUUGUUUGAUAAUCAGAAAAAAGCAUAUUCUUUUGGGUGUUCAGCCACACUGCUUUGGUGUCACAACUGCACAUUGGUUUCACAGCUGCAGGACAAAUUCGAGCAUCUUAAAAUGAUUCAACAGGAGGAGAUAAGGAAGCUCGAGGAAGAGAAAAACAACUGGAAGGAGAAAUCAUAGAUUUUUAUAAAAUGAAAGCUGCCUCUGAAGCACUGCAGACUCAGCUGAGCACUGAUACAAAGAAAGACAAACAUCUGGUUUUUGGCAAAUUUGUCAUAUCAAGAAGCACUUUCAGACACACAAGUUGCUAUAGUUAAUAUUUUAUCUUCAACUUCUGGACUUUUUACCUUAAUCCUUGCUGCAGUAUUUCCAAGUAACAGUGGAGAUAGAGUUACCCUUUCUAAACUAUUAGCUGUAAUUUUAAGCAUUGGAGGUGUUGUACUGGUAAACCUGUCAGGGUCUGAAAAAUCUGCUGGAAGAUAUACAAUAGGUAAGUACUUGACUCUGGAUUCUCUCUGUUAGAGUAAACAAGAAAGUUACAUGUGCGUGCUCAUGUGCACAGAUGAACGUACGAAGGGUAGGCACUAGCAGGGUGUUUUUUUUUUGAACUUUUCCUUUGGAAA